rnacentral:tRNA from 1 species
ACGCCGGUAGCUCAAUUGGUAGAGCAGCGGAUUCCAAAUCCGCAGGUUGAGGGUUCAAGUCCUUCUCGGCGUG